GACGAACGCUGGCGGCGUGCUUAACACAUGCAAGUAGAACGGAAAGGCCCUGCUUUGGUGGGGUGCUCGAGUGGCGAACGGGUGAGUAACACGUGAGUAACCUGCCCUUGACUUUGGGAUAACUACAGGAAACGGGAGCUAAUACCGGAUAGGAGCUCCUGCUGCAUGGUGGGGGUUGGAAAGUUUCGGCGGUUGGGGAUGGACUUGCGGCUUAUCAGCUUGUUGGUGGGGUAGUGGCUUACCAAGGCUUUGACGGGUAGCCGGCCUGAGAGGGUGACCGGCCACAUUGGGACUGAGAUACGGCCCAGACUCCUACGGGAGGCAGCAGUGGGGAAUAUUGCACAAUGGGCGGAAGCCUGAUGCAGCAACGCCGCGUGCGGGAUGACGGCCUUCGGGUUGUAAACCGCUUUCGCCUGUGACGAAGCGUGAGUGACGGUAAUGGGUAAAGAAGCACCGGCUAACUACGUG
rnacentral:rRNA from 1 species